GCCAUUGUGGCAUAGAGGUUUGAGUGCUGGACUAUGACUCUGGAGACCAGAGUUCAAUUUCCAGCUCAGCCUGGGCA
rnacentral:tRNA from 1 species